GAUGAAGAACGCAGCGAAAUGCGAUAAGUAAUGUGAAUUGCAGAAUUCAGUGAAUCAUCGAAUCUUUGAACGCACAUUGCGCCCGCCAGUAUUCUGGCGGGCAUGCCUGUUCGAGCGUCAUUUCAACCAUCAAGCCCCCGGCUUGUGUUGGGGACCUGCGGCUGCCGCAGGCCCUGAAAUGCAGUGGCGGGCUCACUGUCACUCCGAGCGUAGUAGUUACAUCUCGCUCUGGGCGUGCUGCGGGUUCCGGCCGUUAAAAGCCUUAUUUACCCAAGGUUGACCUCGGAUCAGGUAGGAAGACCCGCUGAACUUAAGCAUAUCAAUAAGCGGAGGA
rnacentral:misc_RNA from 1 species